AACGCGAAGAACCUUACCUGGGCUCGAAGCGCAGUGGAAUCCGGUGGAAACAUCGGCGCCCCUUAAAAGGCUGCUGCGGAGGUGCUGCAUGGCUGUCGUCAGCUCGUGUCGUGAGAUGUUGGGUUAAGUCCCGCAACGAGCGCAACCCUUAUCGUUAGUUGCCAGCGGGUUAUGCCGGGCACUCUAGCGAAACCGCCCCGGAUAACGGGGAGGAAGGUGGGGAUGACGUCAAGUCCUCAUGGCCCUUAUGACCAGGGCUACACACGUGCUACAAUGGUAGGUACAAAGGGUCGCGAAGCCGCAAGGUGGAGCCAAUCCCAUAAAGCCUAUCGUAGUCCGGAUCGGAGUCUGCAACUCGACUCCGUGAAGUCGGAAUCGCUAGUAAUCGUAGAUCAGCAUUGCUACGGUGAAUACGUUCCCGGGCCUUGUACACACCGGAGUA
rnacentral:rRNA from 1 species